GGUCCAUGGCUUCUUGCUUGAUAGGGACUGGAUCAAACAUUAGCAUCUUCUUUAUUCACCUCUUCUGAUGCCUGUGAUGUCCUGGCCAAAACUGUGUGGACAAACACUUCUCGUUAUCUGCAAUUCUGAACAGAGCGGCGCUCCCGCAGGGCCGGGACGGCGCGGGGCGACGGGGCUGGGGGCGCUGCGGCGACUCCGGGCCGGCGUGUCCCGCGGCUGAGGCGCCUCCGCGGUGGCUCCGGGUCUGUGUGCGAGGAGGAGCCGCCCGCCGCCGCCCUGCCUCCCGCCCUCCGCCCGCCUCCCCCCCGGGCUGCUGGCACCGGGCCGCGCUGUCACAUGACGCGGCGCCUCUCGCCCUGCCAGGCUCCCCGGGCCGGCGGGGUGAGCGCUGGGAGGGUCACGGAGGGGAGCGCGGGAGGGCGGCUCCCGCCCGCGGGGUGGAGGCUCCGCCGAGGGCCGAGGCGAGUCAGCGCGCACAAACAGCCGGGCACGCACUGACUGCGCGCCGCCCGCCCUGCCUCCCGGGGGCAGACGGCCCCGCGCAGACACUAAUUAUCCCCAGCAGCCCGGGGAGGGGAGGGGAGCGGAGCGGAGCGGGGCCACCGCCCGCCGACAAACCUGCCCGGCCAGCUGCUGCUCCCCGCCCGGCUGUCAGGCAGAGGCGUGCGCCUGGCACCCGGCUCGCAGCGCACCCCGUUCCCUCCCUCCGCGCCCACCCCGGCCGACCUGCGGCGGCAAAACAACAGCAACACCCAGCGCCCGGGGGGCAGGAAGGGAGGUGCUCGCUCUGGGGCGCUGCCGCCGAGCUGCCUCCGCCGGCGGGGGCUGGGAGAGGCAGCGGGGAGGUGCGGGGCUGCCCGCGCCGCGCCCCGGCGCGACGGGAGGGGAGGGGAAUGGAGGGGAGGGCCGCGCCGAGGCGAGGGCCGGCGGCCGGGCGGCCAAGCGGGGGGCAGAGGUGUGGGCCCGCCUCCGCCCGGCUUGGCGGCUCGCCCGGCCCGGCUGCUUGAGGCCCGUGCCGGGGUGUUUCGUACGGCUGCAGUCGGCCCGUCGCGUCCGGCAGCGCUGGCGGCUCCCCUCACCGCGCCGCCUCAGCACCGCGGGCGGCACCGGCCCCGAGUUCGGUGUUCCGCGGGACAGCCCCCGGCUCGGCCCCGCUCCGGCUCCUCUGGCAGCGGAGAGCGGCCUCCAGGCUCCGGCACACGGACAGCCUCGUGGAAGCGAAACCCGUCCCAGCACGGCGCUUGCCGCUCGGGGCGGGGUUCUGCCCGUACCGAUAGGAAGCGGCGGCCACUUGUCGCCGUAGCCACCUGUGGACUUCCCUUGGAAAACUGUUUUAAAAAAGUAAUCUCGGGUUGCUGUCUGAGCUCUCUUAAAAGUUCUGCCGCAAACGCACUGCAUAAAAUUGUUGUAUAGACGUUGUACCAUGUAAAAUCCUGUCCUCUCCUGGUCGAUAAAUGGCACCUAACACUUGAAGCAAGGGGUGACCGCCAUGCUUGGUCGGUGCUCCUUGAGACCCAUCUGUGUGCUAAACGCCCUGAGUAGGACGCCAGCGUAACACGCCUCUCUGUGCACGUUUGGGUUGUUGUUAUUUCUUCUUUCCUUGAUUAUUGCUCACUGAGUCAGUAGGGCUGUAAGAGCACGUGUUCGGUCUACAUCUUUAUUUCUAGGAUGUCUCAGUGUGUCCCUUGACUUCGCUUGCUACUCUGAAUGGCUUUGAAAAGCAAACCAAGGCACUGAUCUGAAGCCCUGAAGGGUAUGACUCACUGACAUAACAAUACAUUGUAGUAUCUCCUGGAUAAUUACACUGCAUCAUGUCACAACAAGGUAUUGUUGAAAUAUUAUCAUGUAGCUCAUAAAGUGUGAUUUUUUUUUUAUUGUAAGCCUAUAAAAUAAACAAAACUGUUGUGUUAGAACAGACGUGCAGACACAAAGCAUUUUGUUAGGGCUGUGAAAAGGAGCUGUAGUAGCAAACACACUCAAGAUAACACAUUUGUAUCGCAAUUUGGCAUUGUUUUAUUUAGGGAACUAGCACAGAUGUCACCACUAGCUACAACUCUAAGUCAGGGACAGAGUGGUUUUGAUGUGAAACUGCGAUACAGGACAAAAUAUUUGGCAGCGGUGAGGAUGCUGCUCCUGGUAAAGUCACUGGCAUUUCCUGUUAGCAACUACCUUGUGGUGGCCUCAGGUGAACCACGUUUAAUUCAGUGUAAUUUUACUGUGUUCUGUGAAGUCACUUAGAUUUUAUGUUAGCAAAUGAGGGGAGAGAGGGCUGUGAAUGAUGCGUUUGUGGUGCCAAGCAGGAUUGUACACCUGUCCACGCUCAGUUGCCUUUGCUUGCUGUUUGUACUUAACCAAAACUUGGAAAGGCUGUUCAAAUUCUGAAGUGAACAUAAUCUCAUUGCUUUCAAUGGGAAUUGUGAAGCUGGGAGGGGGAAGCUGGGGAUGUGAAGAAUCCCCACCAUCUGGUUCACAGACCCAGCAGUUUUAACCAGGUCUGGAAGUGUUUCUGGAUCAAAGGGCUGGCUGAUGGGCAGCCCUUAACAUCUUCCAGCACAACACCUCCUCCAUCUCUGCUCUGCCCAUCGUCCCAGCAGCAGUUCAAAUGUUGAUGUGCUGAAUGACUUCUCUCUUAAAACAGAUGGAAGAGCAGUGGCGUGCAAGUCCCCGGGAUAACAGAAAUAAGGAAUGCUGUGCUGUUCCCCCUUGGUUUGUAGCACAUGGCAUGAGCCCUUGUCACGAGAUGAAGGAUUCACAUUCAGAAGUGCCAGGGAGAACAUGGCACAUACUGGUUUCUGAUGUGGGCAGACAGGAGCUGGUACAUGGACCAGUGGAAUGGAAUGUGUGCAUCCCUGUCAGAAAGAAACAGUAUUAAAAACGUUAGAU
rnacentral:lncRNA from 1 species